GAUGAACGCUGGCGGCGUGCCUAAUACAUGCAAGUCGAGCGAAUGGAUUUAGAGCUUGCUCUUAUGAAGUUAGCGGCGGACGGGUGAGUAACACGUGGGUAACCUGCCCAUAAGACUGGGAUAACUCCGGGAAACCGGGGCUAAUACCGGAUAACAUUUUGAACCGCAUGGUUCGAAAUUGAAAGGCGGCUUCGGCUGUCACUUAUGGAUGGACCCGCGUCGCAUUAGCUAGUUGGUGAGGUAACAGCUCACCAAGGCAACGAUGCGUAGCCGAACUGGGAGGGUGAUCGGCAAAACUGGGACUGGGAAACGGACCAGACUCCUACGGGAGGCAGCAGUAGGGAAUCUUCCGCAAUGGACGAAAGUCUGACGGAGCAACGCCGCGUGAGUGAUGGAGGCUUUCGGGUCGUAAAACUCUGUUGUUAGGGAAGAACAAGUGCUAGUUGAAUAAGCUGGCACCUUGACGGUACCUAACCAGAAAGCCACGGCUAACUACGUGCCAGCCGCCGCAGUAA
rnacentral:rRNA from 1 species